rnacentral:rRNA from 1 species
UACGUAGGGCGCAAGCGUUGUCCGGAAUUAUUGGGCGUAAAGAGCUCGUAGGCGGUUUGGCAAGUCGGGUGUGAAAUCUCUGGGCUCAACUCAGAGAGGCCACUCGAUACUGCUAUGACUAGAGUCCGGUAGGGGACCAUGGAAUUCCUGGUGUAGCGGUGAAAUGCGCAGAUAUCAGGAGGAACACCGGUGGCGAAGGCGGUGGUCUGGGCCGGCACUGACGCUGAGGAGCGAAAGCGUGGGGAGCGAACAGG